UUUGGCACGUCUUUUUACAAAGCAUUGAAAAAUGGCCGCACAGCUUUUCAGCCUGCACCGCUGGUGAACCCAUCGUUUCCUCAUUCUAAAUUGAAGGAGUGAGGUGUCCUUCCCUGUUAGGAGAUAAACCACCUAAACAAGAUGCAGUGAUUGGGAGAUGGACCUUCCCAUUGCCUUGGGGUGUGUUCCAGAAAAAGGUCCUAAGCCUACUGGUCGACAUCCGCCAUCGCCUGAAGGAAACACAGCCUGCCUCUUCAGCUGUCCAUAUAGAGAGGAUUGACACCAUGGAGGACUUUGAGUUGCAGGAGCAACACCUCUCUGAUGCACAGGCCUUUGAUACCCUGACUAACCUCGCCUCAUAACGAGGCCGUGACCUCAUAUUUGCUCGGAGCUAUGUCUGCAAGUCCAGAUUUACAUGAUGCUGAUAAUGACGACAUUGUGUCUGCCUGUAAAACAUAUUAUGAGACCGUGCGCAGGAGCUUCAGGUACAAACAACCAGAUCUUGCAUCGCAGGCGGAAGCUGUGAAGAGUUCAGCUCGGAGUCGAGCGAGAAGAGGCUGCUAGAAGCGAGACAGAGUGUGCUGGCUGAGGAUGAGGUGGGCCUUUGGAAGUGCGCUACCAUAGACCUAAUGUCGGAUGAGGAAGACUGCAUCGUUGGCGGGGUGUCUGGAUGGAUUGUGCGACCUCCGUCUUUUCGCAGCCAGGAGCUCACAGAACUCUGUGCCACACUGCAGUCUAGAUUAGAGGCGAUGCCAAAAAACAGGGCAACGCACCACAGACGUCUGCAAAAUGGACCAAAUUCGGACAGAAUUACCUACAGCUCCGAAGCUGAAAACAGACACUUCAUGGUGCUGUAGGAUUUUGGGCUUCUCGUGAGCUUCCAAUUUGUUGUGUGUGCAGAUCUCAUAUGUUUGUAUAGUUUGUGUGUUUGUGCAAA